AUUGAACGCUGGCGGCAGGCCUAACACAUGCAAGUCGAGCGGAGCGGCGGACGGGUGAGUAAUGCCUAGGAAUCUGCCUGGUAGUGGGGGAUAACGUCCGGAAACGGGCGCUAAUACCGCAUCCGAUCAGAUUAGCCUAGUUCGGAUUAGCUAGUUGGUGGGGUAAAGGCCGACCAAGGCGACGAUCCGUAACUGGUCAGAGAGGAUGAUCAGUCAAACUGGAAAUGAGACAAGGUCCAAACUCCUACGGAAGGCAGCAGUGGGGAAUAUGGCACAAUGGGGGCAAGCCUGAUGCAGCCAGGCCGCGGGGAUGAAGAAGGCCUGCGGGUGGUAAAGUACUUUGAGUCGGGAGGCGUUACCGACAGAAGAAGCACCGGCUAACUCCGUGCCAGCAGCCGCGGUAAUAC
rnacentral:rRNA from 1 species